rnacentral:rRNA from 1 species
CAAUAGCGUAUAUUUAAGUUGCUGCAGUUAAAAAGCUCGUAGUUGGAUUUCGGGUGGGAAUGGCCGGUCCGCCGUUUCGGUGUGCACUUGCUACGCCCACCUUGCUGCCGGGGACGUGCUCUUGAGUUCACGCUCGGGACACGGAGUCGGCGAGGUUACUUUGAGUAAAUUAGAGUGUUCAAAGCAGGCCUACGCUCUGAAUACAUUAGCAUGGAAUAACACGAUAGGACUCUGGCCUAUCUUGUUGGUCUGUAGGACCGGAGUAAUGAUUAAGAGGGACAGUCGGGGGCAUUCGUAUUUCAUUGUCAGAGGUGAAAUUCUUGGAUUUAUUGAAGACUAACUACUGCGAAAGCAUUUGCCAAGGAUGUUUUCAUUAA